rnacentral:miRNA from 1 species
GUUCUCUUCUCUCUCUCUCUCUCUCUCUCUCUCUGUGUGUGUGUGUGUGAGAGAGAGAGAGAGAGAGAGAGAGAGAGAAU